AGUGAACGCUGGCGGUAGGCCUAACACAUGCAAGUCGAACGGCAGCACAGGAGAGCUUGCUCUCUGGGUGGCGAGUGGCGGACGGGUGAGGAAUACAUCGGAAUCUACUCUGUCGUGGGGGAUACCGUAGGGAAACUUACGCUAAUACCGCAUACGACCUACGGGUGAAAGCAGGGGACCUUCGGGCCUUGCGCGAUUGAAUGAGCCGAUGUCGGAUUAGCUAGUUGGCGGGGUAAAGGCCCACCAAGGCGACGAUCCGUAGCUGGUCUGAGAGGAUGAUCAGCCACACUGGAACCGGGACACGGUCCAGACUCCUACGGGAGGCAGCAGUGGGGAAUAUUGGACAAUGGGCGCAAGCCUGAUCCAGCCAUACCGCGUGGGUGAAGAAGGCCUUCGGGUUGUAAAGCCCUUUUGUUGGGAAAGAAAUCCAGCUGGCUAAUACCCGGUUGGGAUGACGGUACCCAAAGAAUAAGCACCGGCUAACUUCGUGCCAGCCGCCGCCGUAA
rnacentral:rRNA from 1 species